rnacentral:piRNA from 1 species
UCUGGACUAUGACAUCACCUUACAAGAAGC